GAUGAACGCUGGCGGCGUGCUUAACACAUGCAAGUCGAACGGAAAGGCCAUGCUCUUGUGGGGUGCUCGAGUGGCGAACGGGUGUGUAACACGCGAGUAACCUGCCCUUGACUUUGGGAUAUCUUCAGGAAACUCGGGCUAAUACAGGAUAUGAGCUCCUGCUGCACGGGGGGGGUUGGAAAGUUUCGGCGGUUGGGGAUGGACUCGCGGCUUAUCAGCCUGUUGGUGGGGUAGUGGCUUACCAAGGCUUUGACGGGUAGCCGGCCUGAGAGGGUGACCGGCCACAUUGGGACUGAGAUACGGCCCAGACUCCUACGGGAGGCAGCAGUGGGGAAUAUUGCACAAUGGGCGGAAGCCUGAUGCAGCAACGCCGCGUGCGGGAUGACGGCCUUCGGGUUGUAAACCGCUUUCGCCUGUGACGAAGCGUGAGUGACGGUAAUGGGUAAAGAAGCACCGGCUAACUACGUG
rnacentral:rRNA from 1 species